ACGCUAGCUACAGGCUUAACACAUGCAAGUCGAGGGGAAACGUCAUUGAAGCUUGCUUCGAUGGGCGUCGACCGGCGCACGGGUGAGUAACGCGUAUCCAACCUGCCUCUGACUAAGGGAUAACCCGGCGAAAGUCGGACUAAUACCUUAUGAGGUUUUCUGCAGACAUCUAACGAAAACGAAAGAUUUAUCGGUCAGUGAUGGGGAUGCGUCUGAUUAGCUUGUUGGCGGGGUAACGGCCCACCAAGGCAACGAUCAGUAGGGGUUCUGAGAGGAAGGUCCCCCACAUUGGAACUGAGACACGGUCCAAACUCCUACGGGAGGCAGCAGUGAGGAAUAUUGGUCAAUGGGCGAGAGCCUGAACCAGCCAAGUAGCGCGCAGGAUGACGGCCCUAUGGGUUGUAAACUGCUUUUAUGUGGGGAUAAAGUGAGCUACGUGUAGUUUAUUGCAGGUACCACAUGAAUAAGGACCGGCUAAUUCCGUGCCAGCAGCCGCGGUAAUACGGAAGGUCCAGGCGUUAUCCGGAUUUAUUGGGUUUAAAGGGAGCGUAGGCCGUGGAUUAAGCGUGUUGUGAAAUGUAGACGCUCAACGUCUGAAUUGCAGCGCGAACUGGUUCACUUGAGUAUGCACAACGUAGGCGGAAUUCGUCGUGUAGCGGUGAAAUGCUUAGAUAUGAUGAAGAACUCCGAUUGCGAAGGCAGCUUACGGGAGCACAACUGACGCUGAAGCUCGAAGGUGCGGGUAUCAAACAGGAUUAGAUACCCUGGUAGUCCGCACAGUAAACGAUGGAUGCCCGUUGUUAGUUCACUUUAGAAUUAGCGACCAAGCGAAAGCAUUAAGCAUCCCACCUGGGGAGUACGCCGGCAACGGUGAAACUCAAAGGAAUUGACGGGGGCCCGCACAAGCGGAGGAACAUGUG
rnacentral:rRNA from 1 species